GCAUAACGCGAAGAACCUUACCACCUUUUGACAUGCCUGGACCGCCACAGAGAUGUGGCUUUCCCUUCGGGGACUGGGACACAGGUGCUGCAUGGCUGUCGUCAGCUCGUGUCGUGAGAUGUUGGGUUAAGUCCCGCAACGAGCGCAACCCUCGCCAUUAGUUGCCAUCAUUCAGUUGGGAACUCUAAUGGGACUGCCGGUGCUAAGCCGGAGGAAGGUGGGGAUGACGUCAAGUCCUCAUGGCCCUUACAGGGUGGGCUACACACGUGCUACAAUGGCGACUACAGAGGGUUAAUCCUUAAAAGUCGUCUCAGUUCGGAUUGUCCUCUGCAACUCGAGGGCAUGAAGUUGGAAUCGCUAGUAAUCGCGGAUCAGCAUUGCUGCGGUGAAUACGUUCCCGGGUCUUGUACACACCG
rnacentral:rRNA from 1 species